ACCUACUUGGAGAAAUUGGUAGACUCAAACGACUUAAAAUUGUUUGCUUAUAAAGCGUGAGGGUUCAAAUCCCUCAGUAGGUA
rnacentral:tRNA from 1 species